UGUUCGUUGAUGAGGAUUCGAGCCCGUGACCUGCAGAUUGCAAGUCCAGCGCCCUAACCACCAGGCCCGUUUUACGAAAAUGCUACAUUCUUUAUUAGUUUCUUAACAAGUCGCUGAAGGAUAAAUGCUUAUCCCUUAGGAUUCUCCUUGACAUAAAUGAAGGAUUAAAGUUAUGUGGCGCAGAAUAAAAGAUACUGGAAUUCAACCGUAUAAGCCAAGAAAACAUUUCAAUAGGAACCACACCAGGUUUCUGAAGUUUUUUCCUCACUACAUUAGAUGGGAGUAUGUGAAGGACAUUGUAUGAAAGAUGAUGACAACGUUGCGUGCCCAAAUAAUCAACGCAACUGCGACGAGUACUCUGAAGAUGCUGGAAAGUACGUGAGAGGAGAUCGAUUAUCGCCCGGACAUCUUUCGAGACCAUGUCAAAGCAUACUAACGGCGCCACUUCCCAUGGGCAAACCUAGUGUGUUUAGCCUACAUUAUACCACGAACCGAAGUUCUGUAUAUUAUAUAGUUCUUGUUCUAUUCAAGUAAAAAAUGGUUUAAUAACUUAUUCAGUUCCCGUUUUAUUAGAACAUUUUUUAUAAACGUUCCAAAUAGGCAGGAGCAGUCCAUUUAACACGACCGCUAUCUACACAAUUGUAUUUUUAUUAUAACUAAUUUCAACAGUAAUGCGAUACAUUAAAACGAAUUAAAAUAGUACUAUAGAUAUCGAGGUCGAAUUCUUUUUUAAUUUAGAAAUUACGUCUGGUAAUAAACUUUAGUUUUUGUUUGUUU